GAUGAAGAACGUAGUGAAAUGCGAUAAGUAAUGUGAAUUGCAGAAUUCAGUGAAUCAUCGAAUCUUUGAACGCACAUUGCGCCCGCCAGUAUUCUGGCGGGCAUGCCUGUUCGAGCGUCAUUUCAACCAUCAAGCCCCCGGGCUUGUGUUGGGGACCUGCGGCUGCCGCAGGCCCUGAAAAGCAGUGGCGGGCUCGCUGUCACACCGAGCGUAGUAGAUUUUAUCUCGCUCUGGGCGUGCUGCGGGUUCCGGCCGUUAAACCACCCUUUUAACCCAAGGUUGACCUCGGAUCAGGUAGGAAGACCCGCUGAACUUAAGCAUAUAAUAAGCGGAGGA
rnacentral:misc_RNA from 1 species